rnacentral:rRNA from 1 species
GACGAACGCUGGCGGCGUGCCUAAUACAUGCAAGUUGAGCGCUGAAGGUUGGUCCUUGUACCAACUGGAUGAGCAGCGAACGGGUGAGUAACGCGUGGGGAAUCUGCCUUUGAGCGGGGGACAACAUUUGGAAACGAAUGCUAAUACCGCAUAAAAACUUUAAACACAAGUUUUAAGUUUGAAAGAUGCAAUUGCAUCACUCAAAGAUGAUCCCGCGUUGUAUUAGCUAGUUGGUGAGGUAAAGGCUCACCAAGGCGAUGAUACAUAGCCGACCUGAGAGGGUGAUCGGCCAAAUUGGGACUGAGACACGGCCCAAACUCCUACGGGAGGCAGCAGUAGGGAAUCUUCGGCAAUGGACGAAAGUCUGACCGAGCAACGCCGCGGGAGUGAAGAAGGGUGUCGGAUCGUAAAACUCGGUUGGUAGAGAAGAACGUUGGUGAGAGUGGAAAGCUCAUCAAGUGACGGUAACUACCCAGAAAGGGACGGCUAACUACGUG